AGAGUUUGAUCCUGGCUCAGAGUGAACGCUGGCGGUAGGCCUAACACAUGCAAGUCGAACGGCAGCACAGGAGAGCUUGCUCUCUGGGUGGCGAGUGGCGGACGGGUGAGGAAUACAUCGGAAUCUACUCUGUCGUGGGGGAUAACGUAGGGAAACUUACGCUAAUACCGCAUACGACCUACGGGUGAAAGCAGGGGACCUUCGGGCCUUGCGCGAUUGAAUGAGCCGAUGUCGGAUUAGCUAGUUGGCGGGUAAAGGCCCACCAAGGCGACGAUCCGUAGCUGGUCUGAGAGGAUGAUCAGCCACACUGGAACUGAGACACGGUCCAGACUCCUACGGGAGGCAGCAGUGGGGAAUAUUGGACAAUGGGCGCAAGCCUGAUCCAGCCAUACCGCGUGGGUGAAGAAGGCCUUCGGGUUGUAAAGCCCUUUUGUUGGGAAAGAAAUCCAGCUGGCUAAUACCCGGUUGGGAUGACGGUACCCAAAGAAUAAGCACCGGCUAACCUCGUG
rnacentral:rRNA from 1 species